UACGGAGGAUGCAAGCGUUAUCCGGAAUGAUUGGGCGUAAAGCGUCCGCAGGUGGCUGUGUAAGUCUGCUGUCAAAGAGCGAAGCUCAACUUCGUAAAGGCAGUGGAAACUGGAUGACUAGAGUAUGGUAGGGGUAGCGGGAAUUCCCAGUGUAGCGGUGAAAUGCGUAGAUAUUGGGAAGAACACCAGCGGCGAAAGCGCGCUACUGGGCCAUUACUGACACUCAUGGACGAAAGCUAGGGGAGCGAAAGGG
rnacentral:rRNA from 1 species